rnacentral:pre_miRNA from 1 species
GCAUCAUUGAGUGCAGCGUUGAUGACCGUCGGGAACGCAUAGUUUGAGAGGUUUCAUCAGCGCUUCACUCAAUCAUGU